rnacentral:tRNA from 1 species
GGAGAGGUCGCAUAGAGGCCUAGUGCGGCGGUUUGCUAAACCGCUAAGGGGUUUUGCUCCUUCGAGGGUUCGAAUCCCUCCCUCUCCGCCA